rnacentral:rRNA from 1 species
UACGAAGGGGGCUAGCGUUGCUCGGAAUCACUGGGCGUAAAGCGCACGUAGGCGGCUUUUUAAGUCAGGGGUGAAAUCCUGGAGCUCAACUCCAGAACUGCCUUUGAUACUGAGAAGCUUGAGUCCGGGAGAGGUGAGUGGAACUGCGAGUGUAGAGGUGAAAUUCGUAGAUAUUCGCAAGAACACCAGUGGCGAAGGCGGCUCACUGGCCCGGUACUGACGCUGAGGUGCGAAAGCGUGGGGAGCA